rnacentral:rRNA from 1 species
AUUGAACGCUGGCGGCAGGCCUAACACAUGCAAGUCGAACGAGUGGCGGACGGGUGAGUAAUGUCUGGGAAACUGCCUGAUGGAGGGGGAUAACUACUGGAAACGGUAGCUAAUUCCGCAUUCCAUCGGAUGUGCCCAGAUGGGAUUAGCUAGUAGGUGGGGUAACGGCUCACCUAGGCGACGACCCCUAGCUGGUCUGAGAGGAUGACCGGCCAAACGGGAACUGAGACACGGUCCAGACUCCUACGGGAGGAGGAGGUGGGGAGUGUUGGCAAAGGGGCGCAGGCCUGAUGCGGCCAUGCCGCGUGUAUGAAGAAGGCCUUCGGGUUGUAAGGUACUUUCAGCGGGGAGGCGUUACCCGCAGAGGAAGCACCGGCUAACUCCGUGCCAGCAGCCGCGGUAAUUC